rnacentral:rRNA from 1 species
AACGAACGCUGGCGGCAUGCCUAACACAUGCAAGUCGAACGAGACCUUCAGGUCUAGUGGCGCACGGGUGCGUAACGCGUGGGAACCUGCCCUUAGGUUCGGAAUAACUCCCCGAAAGGGGUGCUAAUACCGGAUAAUGUCUUCGGACCAAAGAUUUAUCGCCUUUGGAUGGGCCCGCGUUGGAUUAGCUAGUUGGUAGGGUAAAAGCCUACCAAGGCGACGAUCCAUAGCUGGUCUGAGAGGAUGAUCAGCCACACUGGGACUGAGACACGGCCCAGACUCCUACGGGAGGCAGCAGUGGGGAAUAUUGGACGAUGGGCGAAAGCCUGAUCCAGCAAUGCCGCGUGAGUGAUGAGGGCCUUAGGGUUGUAAAGCUCUUUUACCCGGGAUGAUAAUGACAGUACCGGGAGAAUAAGCUCCGGCUAACUCCGUG